ACAGAUCGUUCAGAGUUUGAUCCGUGGCGUCGGGACGAACGCUGGCGGCGUGCUUAACACAUGCAAGUCGAACGAGAAUUUGGCGGACUGAACUUACGGGAGAGGGAAGCUGAAGGGAAGUGGCGAACGGGUGAGUAACACGUGAGCAACCUGCCUUACACAAAGGGAUAGCCACUGGAAACGGUGAUUAAUACCAUAUGAGACCACAAACUCGCAUGAGAAAGGGGUUAAAGAAAUUCGGUGUAAGAUGGGCUCGCGUCUGAUUAGCUAGUUGGAAGGGUAAAGGCCUACCAAGGCGACGAUCAGUAGCCGGUCUGAGAGGAUGAACGGCCACACUGGAACUGAGACACGGUCCAG
rnacentral:rRNA from 1 species